UUGAUUCCCUCAAAUACCAGUGCUUAAAAUUCUAUUUAGUUACCGUUUGAACAAAUUUGCUGUGAACACUUUCCAAGUCAACGAGUCAACAAAUUGUUCCUUUGAAACAAUGUUGCUUAACAGAAACGUGGCGAUGAAGCUUCUUGUGACUAUGGAGCUGGCUGUGCUUUUUUUGCCACAUGUUUCAGGAGCUGGAGCUACAGACUGCAUGAACACUCAGAUCGCCAGGAUGGAUUGCGAUUGCAUAUUUGGCAAGAACGUCCAGGAGAACAUAGCGGAGAAAUAUGGAUGUGAUGCCAGUAAUAGCGCUCCUAGCGCUGAAUCCACCUUCAAAGACUGCAAGAUAGCCAGUAUAAAGUGCAGCCAGGGCUCUCUGGAUAAUGCCCAGGACUGUUCUAAAGCGUCCAGUUUUGCGUUACUUAACAGAGGAACCAGUUGUGAGUGUAAGGAUAAUCCGUGCUUCAAAGCCGUGAUUGGUAAUAACAAGAGAGAAUCUUGUUGCAAUGCACUUUAUCAUUGUAAACAGGUUAAGAAAUGUUUUAAGUAACUUUCCUUAAUACUUGUUUUUUUUGUUCAAUAUUUUGUCCUAUAACCUAUUUGAUAUUUUGUCCUAUUUUUCCAUUCACUGGACAAGUCUACCAGUCACCAGAGAGAAUAAUGUACAAAUUUGCAAGCUGAGUAAACUGAUUUGCGAUUUUAGUGACAAUAACCCUGUAUUUGAGUUUAAUGUAUUAGAAUUUAAAGAA